GUCCUGGCCGUAAACGAUGAGCACUUGGUUGAAGGGAUCCUCAUAUCCCUUCAGCCGGAGCGAAAGUGUUAAGUGCUCCGCCUGGGGAGUAUGGUCGCAAGGCUGAAACUCAAAGAAAUUGACGGGGGCUCACACAAGCGGUGGAGGAUGUGGCUUAAUUCGAGGCUACGCGAAGAACCUUAUCCUAGUCUUGACAUGCACGGAUUAACUCCUUGAAAGAGGAGCCAGGCCUUCGGGUACAACGUGCACAGGUGCUGCAUGGCUGUCGU
rnacentral:rRNA from 1 species